rnacentral:sRNA from 1 species
GCUGAUGCGGGUCGGUGGCAGCGAGGACAUUUUCUGACUCCCUGGCCCCUGACACGGCUGCACUUUCCAUCCCGUCGCGGGGCCGGCCGCUACUCCGGCCCCAGGAUGCAGAAUGUGAUUAAUACUGUGAAGGGAAAGGCACUGGAAGUGGCUGAGUACCUGACCCCGGUCCUCAAGGAAUCAAAGUUUAAGGAAACGGGUGUAAUUACCCCAGAAGAGUUUGUGGCAGCUGGAGAUCACCUAGUCCACCACUGUCCAACAUGGCAAUGGGCUACGGGGGAAGAAUUGAAAGUGAAGGCAUACCUACCAACAGGCAAACAAUUUUUGGUAACCAAAAAUGUGCCGUGCUAUAAGCGGUGCAAACAGAUGGAAUAUUCAGAUGAAUUGGAAGCUAUCAUUGAAGAAGAUGAUGGUGAUGGCGGAUGGGUAGAUACAUAUCACAACACAGGUAUUACAGGAAUAACGGAAGCAGUUAAAGAGAUCACACUGGAAAAUAAGGUACUGGUUAAUUAGUUAUAUUUUUAAAUUUAAUGAGUAGUUAUUUGCCUAUCUAUCUAUCUAUCU